GAUGAACGCUAGCGGCAGGCUUAAUACAUGCAAGUCGUGGGGCAGCAGGGUUGUAGCAAUACAAUCGCUGGCGACCGGCAAACGGGUGCGUAACACGUACGCAACCUUCCCGUUACUGUGGCAUAGCCCAGGGAAACUUGGAUUAAUACCACAUAUUAUAUUGAGGGGGCACCCCUUUGAUAUCAAAGCUUCGGCGGUAACGGAUGGGCGUGCGGUUGAUUAGGUAGUUGGCGGGGUAACGGCCCACCAAGCCUACGAUCAAUAGCUGAUGUGAGAGCAUGAUCAGCCACACGGGCACUGAGACACGGGCCCGACUCCUACGGGAGGCAGCAGUAAGGAAUAUUGGGCAAUGGACGAAAGUCUGACCCAGCCAUGCCGCGUGAAGGAUUAAGGUCCUCUGGAUUGUAAACUUCUUUUCUCUGGGGCGAAAGCCAGCUAUUCUUAGCUAUUUGACAGUACCAGAGGAAUAAGCACCGGCUAACUCCGUGCCAGCAGCCGCCGUAACAC
rnacentral:rRNA from 1 species